rnacentral:rRNA from 1 species
AUGAUAUCCAAAGGUUUAGGAUGGGAGAAUCAUGAGGUUGAAUACGCUCCAAUGCCUCUUGGGUAUCUUGAAUGGGGUACUAAUGUCUUGAAGAAAUAUCAUACCCACCUGAAGGGGAGUGAGGAAGAUGUGGAUUACGUCUAUGGAGCCAUUUAUUGCUCUUUAGGCGACUAUUCUGUCUCCCCUUCUCUUUUAAGGUCUUUAUUGGAGAGAUGGGAUCCCAACACCAAUACGUUUUUGUUCUCAUAUGGCGAGCGUACAGUCACACUUCUUGAUAUGCAUCAGAUCGCGGGGUUGCCCCUUAUGGUGAACCUUAUGAAGAAUAUGUUCCCCUAG